rnacentral:rRNA from 1 species
UACGGAGGGUGCAAGCGUUACUCGGAAUUACUGGGCGUAAAGAGCGUGUAGGUGGUUUUGUAAGUCGGGUGUGAAAACCCUGGGCUUAACCCAGGAACUGCGCUCGAGACUGCAAGACUUGAGUACGAGAGAGGGUAGUAGAAUUCCCGGUGUAGAGGUGAAAUUCGUAGAUAUCGGGAGGAAUACCGGUGGCGAAGGCGGCUACCUGGAUCGAUACUGACACUGAGACGCGAAAGCAUGGGGAG